CAGCCUGGUCUGGUGGUUGGCGACCCUGUGCAUAGCAGGGGGGUUGAAACUCGAUGAUCUUUGAGGUCCUUUUCAACCAAGGCCAUUCUGUGAUUUUAUGACAGCAAGGUAGCUGAACACUUUCCAGUCUUCCUGCUACACUGAAUUUUGAGAUGGGGUUUUUACCACACUACAAAUAUUAGCAGCCCCAUGUUUACUUCAUAUUCUCAGGGUAUUGGAAGAACACUUCCAAGAAGCACAAGUUAUGGCAAAGAACGUGGCUCCAGAAGGAAUAAGAAAGGGAUGAAGAGUGAGGAGGUUAUGCCAACGUCAAGAGAGUGGCCUGCCAGGAAGCAUGGCACAGCAGUGUAGUAAGGUCAGCUUUGGUGGGCCUCUGCCUCAAAUCUGGCACCAAUUUAUCUUUGUGCACAGCCUCUAACAGUGCCAAGAGCAAAUCUGACCCAUGAGCUGGCUAUCAGACAACAGCCUGGGCAUCCACAGCAAUGAGAGGAAAGCUAAGCCCCACUCUUCAGGCAAAGGAGUUAUUUCAGGACUUAGAAGCAGACAUGCCACUUGGGUUGAAAUAGCUUUCUUAUCAAGAUGUUGAGCAGCACAAGGUAUCAAUGUAUUCUGCUCUUCUGUGAGGAUCCUGUGGGAUAGCUUUGGAGAAAGCAAGGAGUGUGGAAAGGAUCUGAAGCACAACUCACUGAAAGAGUUUUGGAUCAGGCCAGUGGACAAAGGGAUUUUUCAGUAGCUAGGAUAUGCGGCUGAAACUUCAGUUUCUAAAAACAAGCCACGACAACUGUAAGCCAACAGCUGUCUUCUUGGUACCUGCUCACUGAGAUGGAUUUGUUUUGAAAUUUCCUGUGUAUUUCAAAGCUUUUUUUUUUUUUUU
ensembl:lncRNA